rnacentral:rRNA from 1 species
AACGUAUCCUUAAGUGGGGGACAACCUAGCGAAAGUUAGGCUAAUACCGCAUACGCAGGGAACUGGAAAGUGGGGGAUCGCAAGACCUCACGCUUUUGGAGCGGCCGAUAUCAGAUUAGCUUGUUGGUGAGGUAAAGGCUCACCAAGGCGACGAUCUGUAGCUGGUCUGAGAGGAUGAUCAGCCACACUGGGACUGAGACACGGCCCAGACUCCUACGGGAGGCAGCAGUGGGGAAUUUUGGACAAUGGGGGCAACCCUGAUCCAGCCAUUCCGCGUGAGU